UACGGAGGGGGCUAGCGUUGUUCGGAAUUACUGGGCGUAAAGCGCACGUAGGCGGCUUUGCAAGUUAGAGGUGAAAGCCCGGGGCUCAACUCCGGAAUUGCCUUUAAAACUGCAUCGCUAGAAUUGUGGAGAGGUGAGUGGAAUUCCCAGUGUAGAGGUGAAAUUCGUAGAUAUUGGGAAGAACACCGGUGGCGAAGGCGGCUCACUGGCUCAUUACUGACGCUCAGGCGCGAUAGCGUGGGGAUCAAACAGG
rnacentral:rRNA from 1 species